ensembl:lncRNA
CCUGCCGUGCGGGGUGGUGCGGAGACGCGGAGUGGUGUGGGCUCUUUUUUUUUUUUUUUUUUUUUUUCUUGCGUAGGGCGAGAUGUUGUUUUGUUGUGACGAUCAGCUGAGUGUGGCAUCGCUGUCCGGUCUGACACCACGAGAAGAAGAAGAAGAAGAAGAAGAGGGGGGAGGAGGAGGAGGAGAAGAAGAAGAAGCGCCUCUCCGGCUCCACACUAAACGUGGGGACGGAGCGCCUCUUUCCAGCGCAUCGCAAUCCAGGAAAUGCGGACUUGUGGCCCUUUCGCUUCGGGAUAAACGGCUGCAGAAGCCGCACCGUGGAGAGCCGGGACCAGUUGAAGAGGGAGCAACAGUGGAGACUGACGCUGCGCACUUCGAGGCUGUAUUAGAUGCCCGAUGGAGCCCGUGAAGUUGUCUGUGACGGGCUACACCUACACUUGGCAGGGACAGAGCCAAAGUUCAUUCCAGGGGUCCCACAGCCGCAAUAACAUCUGGUCACCCCACAAAACACAAAACCAGCACUGAAGCCUGUCAUCCAUCUCUAUUUUCUUAUCUAUCUACACACACACACAAGGCUUAAAUGGACAUUAUGAUUAAAUCAUAAUGAUGCUGAG